UCUGGUGAUUCGGCGCUAUGGAACCACCCGUUCUCAUUCCGAACACGGAAGUUAAACGUAGUAGCGGCGAUGAUAGUCUCUAUGGGGCAAAAGUAGCUAGUCGCCAGAA
rnacentral:rRNA from 1 species